rnacentral:tRNA from 1 species
UGCGGACGUAGCUCAAUGGUAGAGUCUCAGUCUUCCAAACUGAUUACGCGGGUCCGAUUCCCGUCGUCCGCUCC